CUCCUCCCUUUAAUCUAUAAGCCACUAAUUUCACCUUCGUUCCUUCAGAAUUUCAGUAUACUCGAAGAAAUAAUCCACCUCAGUCAACCAAUCAAGAAAACUUUCAAUGUCAAGAUCUCUACUAAAGGUAGGGAUAUCCAUCUUCAAUUUGAGCUCCUCAUCCCUCCUAUGGUAUUGUUGGAAAUUUAAACCACCUCUUCCUUGUCCUUGGCAUG
rnacentral:misc_RNA from 1 species